rnacentral:rRNA from 1 species
AUUGAACGCUGGCGGAAGGCCUAACACAUGCAAGUCGAACGAGUGGCGGACGGGUGAGUAAUGUCUAGGAAACUGCCUGAUGGAGGGGGAUAACUACUGGAAACGGUAGCUAAUACCGCAUACCCUAGGAUGUGCCCAGAUGGGAUUCGCUAGUAGGUGGGGUAAAGGCUCACCUAGUCGACGAGCCCUAGCUGGUCUGAGAGGAUGACCAGCCACACUGGAACUGAGACACGGUCCAGACUCCUACGGGAGGCAGCAGUAGGGAAUAUUGCACAAUGGGCGAAAGCCUGACGCAGCCAUGCCGCGUGUAUGAAGAAGGCCUUCGGGUCGUAAAGUACUUUUAGCGGGGAGGCGUUAUCCGAAGAAGAAGCACCGGCUAACGCCGUGCCAGCAGCCGCGGUAAUUC